rnacentral:rRNA from 4 species
UUGACCUCAAAUCGGGUGAGA